CUUCUGAAUCAUCAGUAAAGGCCAGGCACUCAUCUGGACCUUAUGCAUUUAGUCUCUUCUCUGAUUUUUAUAAUCAGCUUAUGAAAUGACGGUGUAUGGGUCUGGGACUCAGUGGUAAGUUUAAGACUUUGGAGGUGGCUGGCUUCAAAGGGAAUCCUUUGGCUCUCUUGUCCCAGGCCCAUAGAUGGCACUCUGACACCAUCUGCUAGAAGCACAGCCAUAGUCUAGAAAUACAUCAGGUAGUCCCAUUCCCCAGAGUGAGGCGGCCUCUAAGCCUGUCACUACGCACACACAAUCCCACUGGGGACAGAGACCUGGGGAUGCCAGCUCACUCUCACUCUACCUGCAUCAUAUGUGUGCAUUAGACAGGCUGCGGGGCUGUCCUGAAACUCUGGGCUUGCCCAGUGCCUUUGGAUGGGUGCCCUGGGAAGGCUGGAAGCUGGGCGGUCCCUGCAGAAGAGGAUGGAGCCACAGCUUUGCUGAUUCCAGUGAAGCCCAAGGAAGGGCUCAGCUAUCCAGGAAACCCUCCAGGGGAAAAGGAUUGGGUUCUGGAAUCACAAAGCCCAGGGUCUUAAUCACAGCUCUACUGCUUACAAGCUUCGGACAUUGAGUUGAACUCUUGACAGUCUGAGGCCCAGUCUCCAUAUCCGUAAAAAGGGAAUGAUGAGGCCUUCUUAGGUUUGCUGGGGGUGUUUGAACAGGUGAGUAAAAUGCCAAGCACAGUACUUGGCACAGUCUGUACUCUGUAGGUGCUGGUGAGAGGCACAUGGUCGAUAUCCACAGGGGUCAGCAGAGGGGCAUGACACCGUGCUCUGGGUGAAAGAAGGAAGGACUGUCUUGGAGGUAGUCUGGGAGGCCAGAGGGGAGAACUGGGAUCUCAUCCUCUUGCUGGCUGAUCUUAGCCGGUCAACCUUUUGGGUGAGUUUGCAGCCCCUAGGCCUUUCAAUCCCCCAUCCCUAUAUUUACAUCAAGCUGGAACCAGCACUUUCAAGGCUGGUUGCUCUGAGGGUGGGGUUUGGCAGGGGCAUGGUGGGGUGGAGGUUCUGGAAAUCCCUUUAGAAGGGAAAUUGGGAGAGUGGGCUCAAGGGAUGCCUCUACUUGGAAACACUUUUUCUCUGAGACUUAAUUUCUCCAUGUUUCACAAAGAAAAUACAAAUGUUACAUUUCCUCUUUCUCUCUGGACAUCCUUGUCAAGACCAUAUGGGGUCCUCUCUGACUGGCAGCUCCCGCUAGUUCAGAGAACAGUGUUACUGGCAAAUGCUGCUUUGGAGUGGUGACCUGUGCGAUGGACUCAUCCAGGCUGACCCUUGGAGAAGGGAGGGUACGCAGGGCACGGUGCCCCUCUCUAGGGCCAGGGCUGAAGGAGGAGCCUGAGGCAUGAACACGGGGGGCGGGGGCAGGGCCUCCAGCAUACCUUGUAGCUGUAGGGGCAGGCACAGCGGUACAGCUCCACAGGGUCCUGGGUGCAUGUCCCGUUAUUCUUGCACGGGCUGGAGAGGCAGGCAUUGCAUUUGGCCACAAUGUUGAUGUCCACUGGCCCUGGGCAGCAAAACCAGAGUACUGAUGGCAGGUCCUGAGUGCGCUCACUGCCAUACCUCCCUUCCCCUCUGCUCUGGGCCCUCCCUCAGCCAGCGCCAGCCCCUUCCCAACUCCAUGCCCAGAUGGCAGCUGGCUCUCCUCAGCCAGCACAUCCAGUCCAGCUAGAGUCCCAUUAAUUCAGCCACUGUCCAGUGAGGAAAAAUCACAGUGGGACAUCAUUCAGAAACACUUCUGCAGUCAAAUCAAUUACUGUAAUUAGCCUGAUCCGAUUUUGGUGCUAAUCUGCAAACAAUGCACCAUAAUUAGAAACCCCCUGUGUAUCUUUUCAUAUUCCAGGAAGCUCUGGGCCCAGGCUCCAUUCGGACCUCCCAUUUUUCUACCCACGAACACCCCUCCCCAUGGAAUAGUCUGUGCCAGGCUAAGCAGGGCACAGUGCUUGGGCCAAAGGCACACAGAGGAAGUUCUUCCUGGAAAACCUUGGAAGAAAGAAAUGGAUGGCCCCAGAGGACACAGCGAUGAUGCUGACAAUGGACAGAAAACUGCUCAGAGAAAGAUCUUUAUGUGUCAAUGGUAAGACAGAAAAAUGGAAAUACUCGAAAGAUUCAAAACCAGAAAUGGAUUAAGUAAGUGGCAGUGGAGUAUUAUGGCUUGAUGAUAAAGACUGUGCAUUCUGGAAUCAGAUAGACCUGGAAGCCUGAUGGGAAAGAGAUGUGAGGUCGUUGAAGGAGCCUUCAGGAACGCUGGAAAUGUCAUUGCCAUGGAGGGUUCUGAAGCAGAGGGCACAGGUCGGAAGCUGAGAAAGGAAGAGACAUAUCUACCCAAGGGAGUUACUGGAGUUUCAGAGAUCAUAUGAAGAGCUGUGCUUAAGACCGGAAGUUCUGGAGCCAGGCUGUAUGUCAAAGUGCCAACCCUGGACCAUGGUUGGGAGGUCACAGUGAGUCACCUUCUGGCUCAGCAGAAGAAUUUUCUGAUGCUCUAAUAGCUGGUCAAAAGUGGAAUAGAGUUGCCUGGGUCUGGCUCUAUUGCCCAGGCUGGAAUGCAAUGGCGUGAUCUCAGCUCACUGCAACCUCUGCCUCCCAGGCUCCAACCAUCCUCCCACCUCCGCCUCCCAAGUAGCUGGGACUACAGGCGCAUGUUACCAUGCCUGGCUAAUUUUUUGAAUUUUUUGGUAGAGACAGGGUUUCACUAUGUUGCCCAGGCUAGUCUUGAAGUCCUGAGCUCAAGCAAUCCUCCCACCUCGGCCUCCUAAAGUGCUGGGAUUACAGGUGUGAGCCACCAUGCUGGGGCAAGCCUACUAAUUCGUAUUUCAAGAAGCAAGUGCUAGCGUGUUGUAUGGUUACGUGUACCGCUGAUGAACUCAUGGCAGUAGUAGUGCCAGACUGGGACAAACGAUGCCGAGGAAAGAGAAAACCCUGGUCAGGCUGGUGGUGUUCACCCCAUCACCCCCACCACCCCAAAAGACAGACAGAUGGACGGGCAAACAUUUUCUCUCCCUCUUACAUAUUGAGUUGCCCCAAACAUCACUACUCUAAUUAUGAACAGAUGCAUGCAGAUUCCUUAAAAUUGGCAGGUCCCACCUCCUGGCAGUGAACCCACACACAGAACUAUUAGACUGGGAUGGAAGACAAUAGGUUGGGAUUGAGGGGGAAUGGUAGGAGAAGGAAGGGGGAGCAGGUCCGGCUUCAGCCCUGGCCAGUGAUACGAGCCCAUCUCCUGCUGUGUUCAACUGGAAACAGGGAAAUGGUUGUGCUGAUGUAUCCAUUCUCAAACUCCCCAGAGAAGGUGGAUAAUAAAUAAGUGACAAUAACAGAUUGCACACUGUCAGCGCGGGCACUUCUUUGCCCCCAGAGAAUUGAUUUUUAAUAACAGCGCAGAUGACAUGUGGCGGGAGUUGUCGCUGACACCGGUGUUUUGUGGGCCUCAAUAAAUCACACCAGCCUGGAGGCUCUGAAAUGG
rnacentral:antisense_RNA from 1 species